UUCUGGUUCUGGUUUUGGAAGAUCAAGUUCUCAAACUGAGAGAAGGAAAUCAUCUUGGUUUUGUUCUUUCAAUCAAUCCGUUUCUACAGGAAGUGGAUGCUGAUUAAUUAAUUAUUCCUUUUUGGUUCUUUUUAUGCCAUUCCUUUUACCUUUACAACAAUAUUAAAGCAAAAUAUAAGAAAUUCUAAGUUAUAUAUACAUGAUGGAUUUUAAAUAUCAUCAACUGUUGCCACAUUAUUAGCUUGUGAAUAACAUCACAAUUGAUGAACAAGCAUUCUUUUGUUUUGGCAACAUUAUAAUAGUCUUUUUUGUUUCAUGUUCAUGUUCACAUGUUUUUUUGUUUGGUCUAAACUUUUUUAUUUUACCUUGUUCAUUACAUUAUAUUAUUAUGUGAAUAUACAAUAAGCUUGCUUGUUUUUGCAAAUUUCUCCACAAAAUAAAAUCUAACUUAUAAAUCAGGAUUGUAAUUGAUCUGCAGUAAACAAUUGAACUUGGAUAAUAUGCAGAAGCAUAGCAUGAGAUCAAAUCUUUACACAGUGCUUACGCUUAACUUCAACAUAAUAGAGGUUCAUAAAGAAAAUAUUUACACAUACACUUCAUCAUAUAAGCUCAGGAGGAAUAGGUAAGGAUAAAGAGAAUGGGAGUAGUUGACAAGGUGAGAGGAGAAAUUAUUUCUAAAACAAAAAAAUUAAAAGAUACUACUAAGAAAAAAACACUAAAAAAGCCUUGCAAGGUCAAGAAAAAAAAACUAAAACUUAAAAAUUAAAAUUAAAAAAACUAUAAUAUAAUAAAGCUCAGUGAGGAUAUCGCCAUCAAAACCCUACCUCCACCUCCAUUUGCUACAGUGAAAACCAAUGAAUUUUAUCACACAGAGCUCAUACAACAGUUGGAGAUGCUUGAUGCCAUUUGAGGGAGAUUCUUGAGUAGUUGGUACCAAAAGCAUAUUGAGUUUAAGAAGUGACAAGUAUGGUGGAACUCUAACUAAUGGACAUUGGACAAUGAAGGAUGUGUUGAGAUGUUAUAGCUAGGCAAAUGCUA
rnacentral:lncRNA from 1 species